rnacentral:tRNA from 1 species
AGCCCCGUAGUGUAGUGGCCAAUCAUCUCACCCUUUGGAGGUGAGGACCCAGGUUCAAAUCCUGGCGGGGCUA